UGCAAGUCGAGCGGUAAGGCCCUUCGGGGUACACGAGCGGCGAACGGGUGAGUAACACGUGGGUAACCUGCCCUGUACUCUGGGAUAAGCCUGGGAAACUAGGUCUAAUACCGGAUAUGACACUUCAUCGCAUGGUGGGGUGUGGAAAGUUCCGGCGGUACAGGAUGGACCCGCGGCCUAUCAGCUUGUUGGUGGGGUAAUGGCCUACCAAGGCGACGACGGGUAGCCGGCCUGAGAGGGCGACCGGCCACACUGGGACUGAGACACGGCCCAGACUCCUACGGGAGGCAGCAGUGGGGAAUAUUGCACAAUGGGCGAAAGCCUGAUGCAGCGACGCCGCGUGAGGGAUGACGGCCUUCGGGUUGUAAACCUCUUUCAGUAGGGACGAAGCGCAAGUGACGGUACCUACAGAAGAAGCACCGGCUAACUACGUGCCAGCAGCCGCGGUAAUACGUAGGGUGCGAGCGUUGUCCGGAAUUAUUGGGCGUAAAGAGCUCGUAGGCGGUUUGUUGCGUCGGCUGUGAAAACCUACAGCUUAACUGUGGGCCUGCAGUCGAUACGGGCAGACUUGAGUUCGGCAGGGGAGACUGGAAUUCCUGGUGUAGCGGUGAAAUGCGCAGAUAUCAGGAGGAACACCGGUGGCGAAGGCGGGUCUCUGGGCCGAUACUGACGCUGAGGAGCGAAAGCGUGGGGAGCGAACAGGAUUAGAUACCCUGGUAGUCCACGCCGUAAACGGUGGGUGCUAGGUGUGGGGGACUUCCACGUCCUCCGUGCCGCAGCUAACGCAUUAAGCA
rnacentral:rRNA from 1 species